rnacentral:rRNA from 1 species
UACGUAGGGCGCAAGCGUUGUCCGGAAUUAUUGGGCGUAAAGAGCUCGUAGGCGGCUUGUCACGUCGAUUGUGAAAGCCCGAGGCUUAACCUCGGGUCUGCAGUCGAUACGGGCUAGCUAGAGUGUGGUAGGGGAGAUCGGAAUUCCUGGUGUAGCGGUGAAAUGCGUAGAUAUCAGGAGGAAUACCGGUGGCGAAAGCGACUCUCUGGACGGUAACUGACGCUGAGGCACGAAAGCGUGGGGAGCAAACAGG